rnacentral:rRNA from 1 species
CAUGGUGGGUGUUGGAAAGAUUUAUCGGUGGGGGAUGGACUCGCGGCCUAUCAGUUUGUUGGUGAGGUAAUGGCUCACCAAGGCGAUGACGGGUAGCCGGCCUGAGAGGGCGACCGGCCACACUGGGACUGAGACACGGCCCAGACUCCUACGGGAGGCAGCAGUGGGGAAUAUUGCACAAUGGGCGCAAGCCUGAUGCAGCGACGCCGCGUGAGGGAUGACGGCCUUCGGGUUGUAAACCUCUUUCAGUAGGGAAGAAGCGAGAGUGACGGUACCUGCAGAAGAAGCGCCGGCUAACUACGUGCCAGCAGCCGCGGUAAUACGUAGGGCGCAAGCGUUGUCCGGAAUUAUUGGGCGUAAAGAGCUUGUAGGUGGCUUGUCGCGUCUGCCGUGAAAACCCGAGGCUCAACCUCGGGCGUGCGGUGGGUACGGGCAGGCUAGAGUGUGGUAGGGGAGACUGGAACUCCUGGUGUAGCGGUGAAAUGCGCAGAUAUCAGGAAGAACACCGAUGGCGAAGGCAGGUCUCUGGGCCAUUACUGACACUGAGAAGCGAAAGCAUG